rnacentral:rRNA from 1 species
GAUGAACGCUGGCGGCGUGCCUAAUACAUGCAAGUCGAGCGAACAGACGAGGAGCUUGCUCCUCUGACGUUAGCGGCGGACGGGUGAGUAACACGUGGAUAACCUACCUAUAAGACUGGGAUAACUUCGGGAAACCGGAGCUAAUACCGGAUAACAUGUUGAACCGCAUGGUUUAACAGUGAAAGACGGUCUUGCUGUCACUUAUAGAUGGAUCCGCGCCGCAUUAGCUAGUUGGUAAGGUAACGGCUUACCAAGGCAACGAUGCGUAGCCGACCUGAGAGGGUGAUCGGCCACACUGGAACUGAGCACCGGUCCAGACUCCUACGGGAGGCAGCAGUAGGGAAUCUUCCGCAAUGGGCGAAAGCCUGACGGAGCAACGCCGCGUGAGUGAAGAAGGUCUUCGGAUCGUAAAACUCUGUUAUUAGGGAAGAACAAAUGUGUAAGUAACUAUGCACGUCUUGACGGUACCUAAUCAGAAAGCCACGGCUAACUACGUG